rnacentral:rRNA from 1 species
UACGUAGGGCGCAAGCGUUGUCCGGAAUUAUUGGGCGUAAAGAGCUCGUAGGCGGUCUGUCGCGUCGGAUGUGAAAGCCCGGGGCUUAACCCCGGGUCUGCAUUCGAUACGGGCAGACUAGAGUGUGGUAGGGGAGAUCGGAAUUCCUGGUGUAGCGGUGAAAUGCGCAGAUAUCAGGAGGAACACCGGUGGCGAAGGCGGUUCUCUGGGCCUUACCUGACGCUGAGGAGCGAAAGCGUGGGGAGCAAACAGG